rnacentral:rRNA from 1 species
UGGGGAAUAUUGCACAAUGGGCGCAAGCCUGAUGCAGCCAUGCCGCGUGUAUGAAGAAGGCCUUCGGGUUGUAAAGUACUUUCAGUCGGGAGGAAGGUGGUAAGGUUAAUAACCUUAUCAAUUGACGUUACCGACAGAAGAAGCACCGGCUAACUCCGUGCCAGCAGCCGCGGUAAUACGGAGGGUGCAAGCGUUAAUCGGAAUUACUGGGCGUAAAGCGCACGCAGGCGGUUGAUUGAGUCAGAUGUGAAAUCCCCGGGCUUAACCCGGGAAUUGCAUCUGAUACUGGUCAGCUAGAGUCUUGUAGAGGGGGGUAGAAUUCCAUGUGUAGCGGUGAAAGGCGUAGAGAUGUGGAGGAAUACCGGUGGCGAAGGCGGCCCCCUGGACAAAGACUGACGCUCAGGUGCGAAAGCGUGGGGAGCAAACAGG